GAUGAAGAACGUAGCGAAAUGCGAUAAGUAAUGUGAAUUGCAGAAUUCAGUGAAUCAUCGAAUCUUUGAACGCACCUUGCACCCUUUGGCAUUCCGAAGGGUAUACUCGUUUGAGUGUCAUUGUACUCUCACACUCUCCGAUCCUAUGGAUUCGGGGAGCGGUGGACUUGGGUGUUGCUGCCUUUCCUUGUGGCUCACCUCAAAUGUGUCAGUGCACCUCUUGGUUGGACAUAGUACGGCGUGAUAAGUGUCUUCGCCGGCACCUCGCAAGAGGGUGGCCGAUCGGGAGCUCUGUGCUUUCAAACCGUCUUCGGACAAUUUCUGACAACUUGACCUCAAAUCGAGUAGGACUACCCGCUGAACUUAAGCAUAUCAAUAAGCGGAGGA
rnacentral:misc_RNA from 1 species